rnacentral:rRNA from 1 species
UACGUAGGGUGCAAGCGUUGUCCGGAAUUAUUGGGCGUAAAGAGCUCGUAGGCGGCCUGAAAGGUCAGCUGUGAAAACUCGAGGCUCAACCUCGAGACGUCGGUUGAAACCAUCUGGCUAGAGUCCGGAAGAGGAGUGUGGAAUUCCCGGUGUAGCGGUGAAAUGCGCAGAUAUCGGGAAGAACACCCGUGGCGAAGGCGGCACUCUGGGACGGUACUGACGCUGAGACGCGAAAGCGUGGGGAGCGAACAGG